AGUGAACGCUGGCGGUAGGCCUAACACAUGCAAGUCGAACGGCAGCACAGUAAGAGCUUGCUCUUACGGGUGGCGAGUGGCGGACGGGUGAGGAAUACAUCGGAAUCUACCUUUUCGUGGGGGAUAACGUAGGGAAACUUACGCUAAUACCGCAUACGACCUACGGGUGAAAGCAGGGGAUCUUCGGACCUUGCGCGAUUGAAUGAGCCGAUGUCGGAUUAGCUAGUUGGCGGGGUAAAGGCCCACCAAGGCGACGAUCCGUAGCUGGUCUGAGAGGAUGAUCAGCCACACUGGAACUGAGACACGGUCCAGACUCCUACGGGAGGCAGCAGUGGGGAAUAUUGGACAAUGGGCGCAAGCCUGAUCCAGCCAUACCGCGUGGGUGAAGAAGGCCUUCGGGUUGUAAAGCCCUUUUGUUGGGAAAGAAAAGCAGCAGGUUAAUACCCUGCUGUUCUGACGGUACCCAAAGAAUAAGCACCGGCUAACUUCGUG
rnacentral:rRNA from 1 species